rnacentral:rRNA from 1 species
UACGUAGGUGGCAAGCGAUACUCGGAAUCACUAGGCGUAAAGCGCAGGUAGGCGGUUCGGUAAGUCUUUUGUGAAAGCUCCUGGCUCAACUGGGGAGAGGUCAAGGGAAACUACCGGACUAGAGUGUGGUAGGGGAUACUGGAAUUCCUGGUGUAGCGGUGAAAAUGCGUAGAUAUCAGGAGGAAUACCUAUGGCGAAAGCAGGUAUCUGGGCCAUCACUGACGCUGAGCUGCGAAAGCUAGGGGAGCAAACAGG